rnacentral:lncRNA from 10 species
AAACCUGGGAAUCUGCCCUCUCCUGACCAGACCUAGACAACGGUCUUGGACAAGUCACAACUGUGUUACCUUCAAUGAAAACAGCAGACAAAUCUUAUUUGUAAUAUUUUUUGUGAUUCUCAGAAUUUGCCAAGGAUCAAUGGAAGCAUUUGCCUCUUGUCACAUUCAGGCCACUGAACAGGUGGCCUGAACAGCUUGGGCUACUGAAGUGGCAUUGAACUCAGAGCCAAGAUAUCUGAACAUUGCCGAAGAAAAAUACUGCAAAGAAAAUGAGAUAAAAGUGUAGGUGAUCGAGAGCAGGACUGAGAAGUGUAGGAAAGAUAUUAAAAGAAAGAUUGUGG